UCUGUGUAAACGGCCCGCGGGAUUUUCUUUAUGGCCGGAAUCCGCGCGUCGACUCUAGCACGAUCUCGCGGUGUUUACUCGAUCUUACCGACAACUGGUAGACGCCAACUGAGUGCGUUUCCCCAAUCUUCCCCUUCGGACUGACAGGCUGGGUGGCUGACCCAGUACCUGCUGGCGGAAGGUUCGACUAGAGAACCGUGUCUCUUUAACAGUUAAGCACUGAUUCGUCGGAACGACACUCGCCAGGCGAGUGGUCCGCAACCGAAGGAAGCGAGUGUUUAACCGUUGUUACGGCGGUUCAACAACAGAGGAGAACCAGUCGUGGAUAUUUCCUCUUGUUUUUCCCUUCAGACGGACAGGCUGAUGUUUUAACCAGUACCUGACAGUGGAAGGUUCCAAUAGGGAGCUCUCUCUCUUAACGAUUGAAAGCUGACUCGUCAGAACGACACCCGCCAGGCGAGUAGUCCGCAACCGAAGGAGUCGAGUUUGCAAUCGUUGGUGAUAACCUUAGUGGUUGGACUUACCAGGAAUUUCUCUCUAGAAAGACAAGUUGCCUGUUCCGAGUCUAAACGUAAGAUCAUCUAUUUCGUGGUUGGUUCUGGGUUUUUAUAGGCGACUUUCGUCGAUCUGGGGGACUUAUUCUAAGAAGUGACAAACUGCAUUUGGUAGGUCCUAUUGAUUCUUAAAGUUAGAAAGGGACAAUUGUCGUGAUUGCCUAAAUCUAAUUUUCUCCCACGAGAAAGAAGCAAAGAGAUUUGAAAGUUUUAGGUCUUUUCUCGUAAAGUAUGUCUCUGAGUGCGUAAGUGAUAAAUUUCGAAUUUAAUUACUUUGUUUCUUUCGUUGCGUGGGAUGAUUACUUUCUAUGCGUGGGUUUACGCAGGGACAUAUUUGUUCGUGUUGCGCCUUACCAUUAGAUCAAUGCUUUCCCUUUCUCUUCGUUAUGAAUCCUGUCCGCGUACCACUCGAAUGCGUCAGGCUCAGCAAGGGUCUGCGCUUCGUGCUUAUGACGGUUUGGUCCUACCUGCUUGCUAUGGAAGGAAAUUGUUAACGAUCUUUGAUUUUAUGGCUUUCCCUUCCUUCUGAGUUGAUGGGGCGGUGCGCCUUUACUUUCUAAUGCUAAUGUUACCAUCUGUUUUUUGUGCUGAGUGAUGGCUCUGUCUGUUUAGAAUGCUAUAGGGGAAGGGAUCGGUAAGGUUCUAGUAUAUCCCUUCGCAUGGUUUGAGUUGCCUUCUUCUGUUUGUGGGUCGUAAAUUACGUGCUUAUUGGCUAGUUGUUUAAUUUCGUUUCUUCUCUCUGUCAUUGGUUCGCAUCCGAUCGCAAAUUAAUCGUC
rnacentral:lncRNA from 1 species